CAAAAAAUAGUUAAAAAAUAAUAUUAAUUUUGGAGAUUAAAGUUAUAUAUUAUAAUAUAUUUUUUUGA
rnacentral:tRNA from 1 species